rnacentral:rRNA from 1 species
UCCGGGUUGAUCCUGCCAGAUCCGACUGCUAUCCGGGUAAGACUAAGCCAUGCAAGUCGAAUGGAAUCGCUGAUUCCAUGGCGAACUGCUCAGUAACAAGUGAUCAACUUACCCUUCAGUGGAGGAUAACCUCGGGAAACUGAGGCUAAUCCACCAUAGUUGGCACACCCUGGAACGGGGUGCCCUCGAAAGAUAUUUCGAAAUGCCGAAUGUUCGCUGAAGGAUAGGAUCGCUUUCGAUUACGGUUGUUGGUGAGGUAAUGGCUCACCAAGCCUCUGAUCGAUAAGGGCCGUGAGAGCGGUAGCCCUGAGAUGGAUACUGAGACAAUGAUCCAGGCCUUACGAGGCGCAGAGGCGCGAAACCUUUACAAUGCACGACAGUGUGAUAAGGUUACCCGGAGUGCUAAGAGAAAACUUUUAGCUGUUAUAGGUGUGUAAAAUACCCUAUGAGAAAGGAGAGGGCAAGGCUGGUGCCAGCCGCCGCGGUAAAACCAGCUCUUCAAGUGGUCGGGAAUAUUAUUGGGCUUAAAGCGUCCGUAGCCGGUUAGAACAGUUCCUGGUAAAAUCUGGCAGCUUAACUGUCAGGUCGCUAGGAAUACUAUCUUACUAGAGGGUGGGAAAGGUUUGGGGUACUCCAGGGGUAGCGGUGAAAUGCGAUAAUCCGU